rnacentral:rRNA from 1 species
GACGAACGCUGGCGGCGUGCUUAACACAUGCAAGUCGAGUGGUAAGGCCCUUUCGGGGGUACACGAGCGGCGAACGGGUGAGUAACACGUGGGUGACCUGCCCUCAGCUCUGGGAUAAGCCUGGGAAACCGGGUCUAAUACUGGAUAUGACUCCAUGACGCAUGUUGUGGGGUGGAAAGCCUUGUGCGGCUGAGGAUGGGCCCGCGGCCUAUCAGCUUGUUGGUGGGGUGAUGGCCUACCAAGGCGACGACGGGUAGCCGGCCUGAGAGGGCGACCGGCCACACUGGGACUGAGACACGGCCCAGACACCUACGGGUGGCAGCAGUCGAGAAUUUUUCUCAAUGGGGGAAACCCUGAAGGAGCGACGCCGCGUGGAGGAUGAAGGCUUUCGGGUUGUAAACUCCUGUCAUUUGAGAACAAGGUGCACCGGUUAACUGCCGGUGCAUUGAUAGUAUCAGAAGAGGAAGGGACGG